rnacentral:tRNA from 1 species
GGCGGAUGUCAGCGGUUCGAGUCCGCUUAUCUCCAGGGGAUAUAGCUCAGUUGGUAGAGCUCCGCCCUUGCAA